GGCUUUUGCCAGGAACAGAAAAGGAAUGGAAUCUUAGAACUUAACUAACAUGGCUACCACUCUGAAACCUGUGAGGGACAAAGCAGCUGACUGGGGAUGCUUCAGGACAGGAGCCAGGAGGAGCACUGUGCCCGGUAGGAAUCACCGGAGAAGGACAAACCAGAGCUGGGCACUGUACCACUGUUGCAGGGGGCUAGAGCAGCAGAAGAGGGCACCAGAGGUGGUGGUGGUUGACUGUUUACUGGCACCGAAGAUGACCAGGAACACCUAAGACUGACUGCCGUUGGAACCCUGCGUGCAGACUCAUUGCUUGGUGUCUGCCCUCUCACAUUGUGGUACAACUGGGUCUGUGGGCCUUGUGAUUAAUGUAACCCUAUUUUACCACUCCCCCUAUCUUGCCCCCUGUUUUUCU